GAGAGAGAAGCUCACGAAGCUCACAAACAACAACAGCAACAGGAGCUGCAGGAGAUGCUGGACAGACACCGCUCCCAAAACGAGGCAUGGCUUCGAGCGAGAGCCGAGGAGAACGACCGAGAGAGGAAGGAGCUCUGCAGACUCAGAGAGGAGGUGCAGCAGGAGCAGGAGAGGCUGAAGGAGGAGCAGAGCAACAUCCAGAAACGCAGCGAGCAUCUACUGUCCAUCAUGCAGCAGUUUAAAGGAAUGUGACAGAAUGACCACUUAUCUGUUUUGUUAUUCAUGUUUAUUUAAUUUGCUGAAGGCUAGAUAUAGAUGGGGAUCUUUCAGGUACAAAUAUGUGUCUUUUUUAGUAUUUUAUUUUGAAGGUGUAUAACAGGAGGUUAAGUAUAAGCAGAGGAAAUAAAAAAGAAAAGCAAGAAA